rnacentral:tRNA from 1 species
GGCUCGUUGGUCUAGGGUAUGAUUCUCGCUUUGUGCGAGAGGUCCCUGGGUUCAAAUCCCGGGCGAGCCC